GGCUUAGCUUCGUGUUGUUAUCUCGAUAAGAUUCUUUUUUUAUUUUUCUUUUUUUUUCUUGUUUUUUCUUUCAAUUUUUUUCUCUUUUCUUUUUUUUUUCCUUUUUUUUUUCCUUUUUUUUUCCAUAAAUCCUCGAAGAUCUAUGGACACGGCGAUGCGUCUACAAAAGAUCGAGAUUGCAAGGUAGCAAUCUUACAAAUAGAAAAUAUGUUUUCUUAUCUUUCUUUAUUGCCUUUCUUUUUAAUUUCUUAUAUGUUACGUGAACAAAUAAGUUUAAAAAAGAAUGACGUCGAUGACAAACAAUUAGCCCUUGAAAAGUUUAAUGAUAUAUGGUAUAUGGUAGAUACGUUUUGAUGAAAACCAAACGUGUUUCUAAGUUGUGUAAAAUAUCGUAGUAAAUAGACGAAUCAUUGUUGACGUAAGAUCGUGCUUUUCCGUUUGGAAAAUAACGAUCCUCCACGUAAAACGCCCACGGAUUUUGUGAGUAUUCGUAAAUUAUAUAGAGGUAGAGCUAGCUAGGUAGGUAGGUAGGUAGGGUAUCCUCCUUUUCGUUUUCUCCUUUCAUUUUGUCUCUAAAUAUCCUUUUACUCCUUUUCUCUUUCUCUUCUAUACUACUAUACUUCUCCAGGCUCUUGUUCUCUUCCAUCUAUUCAUCUCCCUUUGCUCGAUCCUUCGUCACUUUUCUAUUCAUUCUCAACCUCGGACUUGCAAAGCUCCCAAGAGAGAGAGAGAGAGAGAGAGAGAUCGGCUUUGCAACUCUCUCUCUCUCUCUCUCUCUCUCUCUCUCUCUCUCUCUCUCUCUCUCUCUCUCUCGGCCAAUGCACCCUGAUAACAUCAUGGUCUCUAUUUUAUUUUCUUCUUCUUUUUCUUUUAUUUUCUGCCGACGUUUUACGACCGCUUUCAUUCGUACGAAAUAAAAAAAAGAAAAAAAAAAAGCGAGACGAAAAGGUGAACCAACAAUAUUCGUCCAAGGGUUGCAAGAAGAUCGUACUUAUCGUUCAUACACAAAAGCAUCACAGUUAAAGCCGACUUGAAAUAUUUAAGUAUAGGUAAUUAUUAUUUAUUCGUAGAAUAUUUCUUUUUAUAUCUUUUCAGAUUAUGAUAAUAAUAUACAGAAUCCGCUGACUCCGUUACUGAUUCGUUUGAUAUUGAUUUAAUUUUAUUAUAUGAUUUGAUCGAUAACGAUUCACCUAUCACGAUUAUAUAAUUUGAAUUUAUAUUCGAAUUGUCGCGAAUAUGCACGAAUUUUAUGAAAGAUCUUAAGAGGGAAUCUUUGGAAUUCAUUUCGAUAAAGGAGACGUACCUUAUCGGUAUUAAAUAAAAAAUAAUACAGCGAUUAGGAAGAUAAAGCGAUCUUAUCAUUAACGACGCUCUGUGUAAUACGUAAUCUAUCUUUCAUUCGUUUCUCUAUUCUCUUUAUCGUUCUAUUUGCAAACGACUUCAUCGAAUGUCGAUGAGUCAUCGUUGUACAUCGACAACAGAGUAUAUUUUCCAUCGAGAGAUUUGCCCGCUGAUAUAUCCAUAUCACGCAUAAGGUACAAUCAUAGAUAAGGGUAUUCUCUCGAUGACGCGGCAAUGUGUUUUGGCAAAUAAGUGAAAUGUAAAUAGUUACGUACAAAAGAGAUUAUUGUAUUAGAUAGAUAGAGAGAGGGAGAGAAAGAUAAUCGAUAGUUCUUAUAUAUAUAUAUAUAUAUUUUUUUUUUUUGUCCUUAAUUAAUCCUUGAUAAUUACCAAGGUAGUUAGUUAUCGCAAGAUUUUUCAAGUCGGAUAUAAGCAUUUCUCAGUAAAAUCCUAUUCGUCAGAUUUUAUCGCCGAUAAAAUAUUUUUUAUUUAUAGACAAAGAGAAAUAUUGAGAAAUGCGAAUUACCGAUAUUACAACAAUAACAAUAACGAUAAUAAUAAUAAUAAUAAUAGUAAUAUUAAUGAUAAUGAUAAUAGUGAAUUAUGAAAAAAGAAAUAGAUAGAAUUUGCACUGCUUGAGAAUUAAAAGAGAAAGAAUUUUGUCGAUCGUUCGUCCUUGCGUUGUAACGUUGUACGCUCGUUCCGCGAUAAGAGUCAAUUGGAGCAGGGGAGAGGGAUAAAAGAGCAAGGACGAGUACUAGUGUUACAACUGACAAGCAUGCUGGAUGAUUUAAUGACUUGGUGCUCGGAUUUAAAUAGUAGAAAUGCUCGAGCCAUAUACGAUGCCUUGAGGAGACACGAGAGAACUAUCUAAGAGAUCAUUCAUCUUCCUUAUACGAAAUUGCUUCCGUAAUAUAGACGAUGAUUGCUUUUAUGAAAAAAAAAAAAAAAAAAAAAAAAAAAAAAAAAAAAAAAAAAAAAAAAAAGAAAAGAACAAAAAAGUGUAUAACGAGAAAUAGUUAAUUAACGUUGCGAAACGAAAUUUUCGUUUCGUUAGUUAACAGGACUUAAUUAAAAAUUGUUCUCCUCGGAAAUUUCUCAAGAAACCGGAGGCGUUUCUUGUCUGAAGAAUAACGCUAAGAAAAGAAAAGAAAAGAAAAGAAAAAAAAAGAGAAAGAGAAAAGAAGAAAAAAAAACAAGAGAAAAGAAAAAGAAGAUUGAACAAAAAAAAAAGAAGAAACAAAAAAUUUCUUGCUUCGUGUGCAUCGGAAGGUCGAAGGUUGUUUCCUUUGGUUUCAUAAGACCCUUUAAAUGGUGGAUAGCAUAAACUCGGAUCGGAGGAGUAAAUUACGCUAUCGGGAUACAGAAGGGACUCCUGAUUCGUUUCAUCCCUUCUCUUACCUACUUUCUUUCCCUUCCUUCCUUCCUUCCUUCCUUCCUUCCUUCCUUUCUCAGGUCUCUCAUUUACCUGGUGUUGUUGUUCGUGUUGGAAAUCCGAAGAGAUGGAAGAGAAGGAGAAGGAGGAGAAGGUUGGAACUCAAUGACGGGACCCGUUAAGGUUCGGGCAUCGUACGCCUUACAUCUGCCACGCUUCAUCGAAGACAAAGACCUUUGAGUUGCCCUUAGGGUUCUCCUUCCAAGAUAUUCCGGAAAAAUCCUCGACUUUUUCUCGGAACUUUCUAAUUCGUGGUCUUCGACGAUUUUAGAAAAAAGGGAUUUCUUUUGUCCCUUUUUCCCUCUUUUCUCUCUCUCUCUCUCCCCCUCUCUCUCUCUCUCUCUCUCUCUUUCUCUCGUGGUCUUUUUCCCCUCUAUUUUAAGAAUAUUAUUUUUACUUAAGUCAAAGUUGAUUUACGAUCGCGAAAAUAGAUUUUAAUAAAAGUUAUUUUCACAAG